rnacentral:rRNA from 1 species
GCCAAUGGGGGGGGCCUAACACAUGCAAGUCGAGCGGAUGAGAGGAGCUUGCUCCUCGAUUCAGCGGCGGACGGGUGAGUAAUGCCUAGGAAUCUGCCUAGUAGUGGGGGACAACGUUUCGAAAGGAACGCUAAUACCGCAUACGUCCUACGGGAGAAAGUGGGGGAUCUUCGGACCUCACGCUAUUAGAUGAGCCUAGGUCGGAUUAGCUAGUUGGUAGGGUAAAGGCCUACCAAGGCGACGAUCCGUAACUGGUCUGAGAGGAUGAUCAGUCACACUGGAACUGAGACACGGUCCAGACUCCUACGGGAGGCAGCAGUGGGGAAUAUUGGACAAUGGGCGAAAGCCUGAUCCAGCCAUGCCGCGUGUGUGAAGAAGGCCUUCGGGUCGUAAAGCACUUUAAGUUGGGAGGAAGGGCUCAUAGCGAAUACCUGUGAGUUUUGACGUUACCAACAGAAUAAGCACCGGCUAACUUCGUGCCAGCAGCCGCGGUAAUACGAAGGGUGCAAGCGUUAAUCGGAAUUACUGGGCGUAAAGCGCGCGUAGGUGGCUUGAUAAGUUGGAUGUGAAAUCCCCGGGCUCAACCUGGGAACUGCAUCCAAAACUGUCUGGCUAGAGUGCGGUAGAGGGUAGUGGAAUUUCCAGUGUAGCGGUGAAAUGCGUAGAUAUUGGAAGGAACACCAGUGGCGAAGGCGACUACCUGGACUGACACUGACACUGAGGUGCGAAAGCGUGGGGAGCAAACAGGAUUAGAUACCUUG